UACGGGGGGAGCAAGCGUUGUUCGGAUUUACUGGGCGUAAAGGGCUCGUAGGCGGCCAACUAAGUCGGAUGUGAAAUCCCCAGGCUUAACCUGGGAACUGCAUCCGAUACUGGAUGGCUUGAAUCCGGGAGAGGGAUGCAGAAUUCCAGGUGUAGCGGUGAAAUGCGUAGAUAUCUGGAGGAAUACCGGUGGCGAAGGCGGCAUCCUGGACCGACAUUGACGCUGAGGAGCGAAAGCUAGGGGAGCAAACGGG
rnacentral:rRNA from 1 species